CCAGUGCAGCAGCAACAGCACAUGAUGGAGACGAUGAUGAUGAGGAGGAGACCAUCUCUCUGGAUUCCAGAAGGCAUGAGGUAUCAUGGUAAGACUGUGAAAGUACUAUUUACUCUACAAUGGUGAGGAGUCCUCAUCAAAAUCAAAAAAUCUAAUUUCUUUUACAGGACCCAGAUGCUAUACAGUGGGAAAACCAGCCUGGCAACAUAGUGCGUAUUAAUAAAAGGACACCACAUCCUGCCAAAUUCCAGCUGCGCUAAUUGUAUUGUGUUCACAGAGCGCACAAGCUAUCAGAAAGUUGUAUGGCAACCACCUCCGGCGCCAAAUAGAACUGGCAGACAUAGACAUUCAGUACAAGAAGAAAAAGAUGGAAAAUCUUGCACUGGAGUCCGAAAUAAAAAAGAGGACAAUUAGGAAACUGGACCUUGAAAUAAAAAAACUUGAGAGGGAGCUCCAAGAAGAUGACACAGCUCAAAAUAAAAAUUAGCAAUCAGUACAACCAAGUCAUCGUUAUAAGGCAUCGCCCUCUUUUGCCCACCCCCCCAGCACCAGGUGUGGCCACUAGCCUAUAUGAAGGCCCAAAAUUGUGUGUUCCUUUCUGCUCUGACAAUGGCAUGCCCAUUCGUGCGAGAUGUGGUGGAUGAAGAAGCACUUGUGCUGAGGAGAGCCUUCAGGCGAGAAAGGGUCUUCAGGGACCGGUUGGACCCACUGGCCUUCCCUGAUGACCAUCUAUAUGAAAGAUACAGGUUUUCUGCAGAUGGCAUCAGGUAUCUAUGCAGACUACUGGGUCCCAGGAUUAAGCACCACACUGCACGGAGCCAUGCACUGAGUGUGG